GUCGCAAAUUAAUUAUAAAACAAAAUAAACAGAAUUAAAAAAAAACCUGAUAGCCACUUUAGAAAAGAAUGGCGAACACUAGCCACAGCGCCGUUUAGAAAUCAGGCCGCUCUAAGGCCUUUCGAGCCUCACCAGAACUUCGAUCGCGACGGAGCGGGUUGAGAUUCAACAACACCAGGUGCAUGGAGGCGCGAUGACGUGGAGGUGCAACACGCGCAGAGGCCUAAUUCCCAGCUGCGGCGCGGACUAUUCCAGAAACCCUAGGGGUUUCUGGAGAUUUCAAAUUGGGCCACUUCAAAUCGGGCUAGGGUUUAAUUCGGUCUAGGAUUGUAUUGGGUCUAGGAUUGGGUCAGAUUUUGGGUUUAAGUUAUUAGGCUUUGGAUUUUGGGCCAUACGGGCCUAUUGUAACUGGACUGUUAUGUUUAUUGGACUUUUUAUUUGUUUUAUAUUUUUUUUGUUUGUGAGGGCCGGGCAGAAUUUGAGUUUUACAGGAAGAAUAUGAUAGUUCUUUUUAUGUUUAAAAGUA